rnacentral:lncRNA from 1 species
CACACUCAAAACUGGCUUCCAACGGGACACAGACAUCAAAACAAAGAAGAGGGCCUCACGACAGGGUUGCCUUGCUUACUCAGCCCACAGCUCUCAAACCGUUGCGCGAGGAAGAGCACGCAGGAGAACAGAGGUUCUCUUUGACUGUGAAACAGAAGAAAAUCUUUCCUUAACAAUAACUUACACGUGCCAUGAAAGAGAUGAAGCAGAAGAUUAAGCAGGAAACCCAGCUACUUUUUUGCCCUAAGGCAUUACUCAUUUUCCUGACACAUUAUGUUUUUAAUUAAAAUUACAUGUGAGUUAAUUAAAA